AGUUAAACAGUACGUGAAAUUGUUGAAAGGGAAACGAUUGAAGCCAGUCGUACCUUCGGGUAAUCAGCCUUUCGGGUGCGAUUCUGUGAGGUGUGAGGAGUUAAACGCCUUCAUGUUUUGCAUAUUCGUGCUCUUGGGUGUACUUGCCCGUGUGGUUGGUUAACGUCAAUUUUGGACGCCAUAAAAUGACUGGAGGAAUGUAGCUUCGAUCUCGUAUUGAAGUGUUAUAGCCUUUGGUAGAUGUGGUUUUCGAGAUUGAGGAUUGCAACGGAUACCCUUCGGGGCUACCUAUCUGAUCUCUGAUCGUUGCUCUGGUGGCGAAAGCUUGCUUACGGAUAUCAAAGUCGAUGGUCAAUAGGUUAGAAUAGGUUAAAUUCGUUAAGGAUGUUGACGUAAUGGCUUUAAA
rnacentral:misc_RNA from 1 species